CUCAGCAUCCCCGCUCUGGACUGAAGAGAGGCAGUUGGAUCCCUGCUGCAGACUAAACAAACGAACAAAGCUGCGUGCAGUGUGGAUGGCGUAUCUACAGCUUCAGGCAUUGUCCGUUUAACGGGCUGAUUUGCAGGAUUAUGAAGUAAUUAUUCCAAGGAAAAUGAAAGGAUGCAGAUCCGGGGAGGUGAUUCAAUAACCAAAGGACUGUAAACUGUUUCAAGUCCAAUAGUAGACAACAUGCAGGGCAAAUGUUCUUCUCCGAGUCAGGUAGAGAUAUGACAUACUUCUUCUCGACCGCUUGGGAUCUCCCCCGCAAACUCCUUGGGUGCCCCACGAGGCUGCUGAAUCUCCAGAUGUGUGAUGACUUGAUGCGGUAAGUUGGGGGACCUAAGGAUGCCACAGCCCACAGGAGGAUCAACCAGACAAGAAGCCCGCAUUCUACAAACCUCACUUCAGCCACGUCUCCCAGCUCAGAACCCUAAGCCAAAAGGCCAGUCAUCAGGGAAAUAAGUAUUCUUCAGAACUUCGGAGAGUGGCCGCUGGGAGAAUGGUUAAUAUGGAGGAAACCGCAACCUCGAGAGCUCCAUUAUUGUGCAAUCAAGAUGAAAAGCACUGGCUGUGCAGACGAAGCUCCCCAGAGCUGUGAU